rnacentral:lncRNA from 13 species
CAGCUUCCUGUAGGUGGCGAUCUCAAUGUCCAGGGCCAGUUUGACGUUCCUCAGCUCCUGGUACUCACACAGCUGCUGCGCCAUGUCGUGCUUGGCCUGUUGCAGGGCGGCCUCCAGCUCAGAUAGCUUGGCGACAGCAUCCUUAAUGGCCAGCUUCCCACACUGCUCAGCGUCUGUGAUGGUGGCCUCCAGGGAAGCCCUCUGUCCUCCUGCGUCUGCAGCUCCUCAUACUUGAUGUGGUACAUAUUCUCCGCCUCGGGCCGGCUGUGAUUGGCGAUCUCCUUGUACAGCAAUGAUGCUGUCCAUGUCCAGCACCACAGACACAUCUGAGACCUGGGACUGCAGCUCCUGGGUCUCCUCUUCAUGCAGCUGCCUGAGGAAGUUGAUCUUGUCAGUCAGCCCUUCCAGGUGAGACUCCAGCUCCACCUUGUUCAUGUAAGCUUCAGCCACAUCCUUCUUGAUGAGGACAAAUUUAUUCUCCAUCUCUGUACGCUUAGUGAUCUCAUUCUCAUACUUUUUCUCCAGCCCCUGCAUGUUGCCAAGCUCAGCCUCCAGCUUCAGCUUCUCUUGGCCCAGUCUCCAGCUGCUGCCGAAGUAGAGAUGGGGUUUCACCAUGUUGACCAGGCUGGUCUGGAACUCUUGGCCUCAAGGAUCCACCCACCUCGGCUUCCCAAAGUGCUGGGAUUACAGGUGUGAGCCACCAGGCCAAGUCUCAUUUUCAUAUUUCUAAAAUUGUAAUAAUAGUGUCUAUCUGCAUUGGAGGGGUUUGGGUGUGUGUGUGUGUGUGUGUGUGUGUGUGUGUGUGUGUGUGUGUAUGUGUUUAUAGUGUCCUUCACAGAGUCUGGCAUACACUAGGUUCUUAAUAAAUGGUUGCUUUUGUCAUUGUGCCAACUGAGAAGCUGGGUAGCUGGCCCGUUACCCAAGAGAAGAAGACAGACAGCAAGCAGAAGACAGCAAGCAGAGGUGCUGUCCUCAGAGAGAGGAAGCCCCGGCUCAGCAGAAUGGAGUCACUUGCCCAGGGACAUCCAACUGAGCUGAUACUCUUUGUCUUCCCUAUGCUGCUUCUCUCUGGGUUUGGUAAAAGUUUUUAUCUUUACAAAAAACAGAUUCCUCCAACCCGGUGGAAGGCUGAGGAAAGCAGCUGGUCCAAACACCCUUCCUCUGCUAUGGGUCUUCUCUUACCCUCUCCUGACAGCUGUAGGGAGAAGAGAUGUGCUGGACUUGGAGUCUUCAGUCCUGGGUUCAAGUCCUGGUUCUACCAUUUCCUGAUAUUAGGUACCUCAGCAGCUUGGACUUCUAUUCUGGGGUGA